GAUGAACGCUGGCGGCGUGCCUAAUACAUGCAAGUCGAGCGAACGGACGAGAAGUUUGCUUUUUUGAUGUUUGCGGCGGACGGGUGAGUAACACGUGGAUACCCUACCUAUAAGUCUGGGAUAACCUCGGGAAACCGGCGCUUAUACCGGAUAAUAUUUUGAUCCGCAUGGUUCAAAAGUGAAAGACGGCCUUGCGGUCUCUUAUAGAGGGUUCUGCGCUGCAUUAGCUAGUUGGUAAGGUAACGGGUUAUCAAGGCAACGAUGCAUAGCCGAGGGGACAGGGUGGUCGGCCGCACUGGAACGUGGACAGGGUCCAGGCGCCUGCGGGAGGCAGCAGAAGGGUAUCUGAGGCAAUAGGCGAAAGCCUGGCGGAGCGACGCCGCGUGAGUGAUGAAGGUCUUCGGAUCGUAAAACUCUGUUAUUAGGGAAGAACAUAUGUGUAAGUAACUGUACACAUCUUGACGGUACCUGGUCAGGAAGCAACGGCUAACUACGUG
rnacentral:rRNA from 1 species